CCUGGCGGCCAUAGCGCGGUGGUCCCACCUGACCCCAUGCCGAACUCAGAAGUGAAACGCCGUAGCGCCGAUGGUAGUGUGGGGUCUCCCCAUGCGAGAGUAGGACACUGCCAGGC
rnacentral:rRNA from 1 species